GGCCCAGGUCAGCCUACUUAAUCUUGCUGAUAUUCCAGUUUUUCAUCAGGAACAAGGCUGAUCAUAAUACUACCUUGAAGGAUUGCUGUGAGGACUAGCUAGAGGGAUUGUGUGAGAGUCCCUUGCCCAAUGUCUGGAACACAGUAGGCUGGGCGCAGUGGCUCACGCCCGUAAUCCCAGCACUUUGGGACGCCGAGGUGGGUGGAUCAUGAGAUCAGGAGUUCGAGACCAGCCUGGCCAACAUGGUGAAACCCGUCCUGAAUAAAAAUACAAAAACUAGCCAGGCGUGGUGGCACACGCCUGUAAUCCCAGCUACUCUGGAGGCUGAAGCAGGAGAAUCACUUGAACCUGGGAGGCGAACUUUGCAGUGAGCUGAGAUUGUGCCACUGCACUCCAGCCUGGGCGACAGAGCAAGACUCCAUCUCGAAAAAAUAUAAAUAAAUAAAUAAAUAAAGUAUUGCAUUAAAAUAGUCUUUCUCUUAGUUACUGAGUUUUUUGUUGCCACUUCCCCCUGCCUCCCUCUAAAAUUUUGUACCCUAGGCAAGGGCCUCACUGUCCUCUCUGGGAGAAUCUACCAGAGGCCAGGGUGGGGCUGGGAGGAAAAGGAGAGGCUUUUAUGUGUAUUCCAGCAGAAGUGCAAGGUUUU
rnacentral:lncRNA from 1 species